rnacentral:rRNA from 1 species
GGGUGCGAUCAUACCGGCGUUAAUGCACCGGAUCCCAUCAGAACUCUGCAGUUAAGCGCGCUUGGGCUAGAGUAUUACUGGGAUGGGUGACCUCCUGGGAAGUCCUAGUGUUCAACCCU